rnacentral:rRNA from 1 species
GGACUACUCGGGUUUCUAAUCCUGUUUGCUCCCCACGCUUUCGCGUCUCAGCGUCAGUCACGUCCCAGCGAGCUGCCUUCGCCAUUGGUGUUCCUCCUGAUAUCUGCGCAUUUCACCGCUACACCAGGAAUUCCACUCGCCUCUUCCGGACUCAAGCUCGACAGUAUCCACCGGCAUUCCAGGGUUGAGCCCUGGACUUUCACAGCAGACUUACCGAGCCGCCUACACGCGCUUUACGCACAAUGAUUCCGGACAACGCUCGCCCCCUACGUAUUACCGCGGCUGCUGGC